UCCACUCCCACCCACUCCUGGAAGAGAAGCUCAGAAGAAAUGUAGCUUUUUGUUUCUAAGUAAAGUGGGAGAUUUGAGUAAAGAAGCUCAGAAGGAGUGAAGAAGCUCAGAAGCUCAGAAGAAAAGGGUAGUUUUUUGUUUCUAAGUAAAGUGGCGAUGUUUUGGCUGCAGCAGGUAUUAUUAUCCCCACAUGUUGCCAUAGCUUUUUGCUUUAUUUAUGUUUUCUUCGUGAGGCAGAAAUUUUUUUUUUAUUUUUUUAUCUAGAAUGAAGCGUGAUAGUGGGGGGAGAAACGGCAGCACAAGCUGCCGUUUCUCUCGCCCUUCUCUCGUCAUUCUAGCCACUAAGCAUUUUCCUUCGGGGCAAAUGCCACGAUGAGACAACGCGUGAUACUUUUUUCAAUUCGCUUGCUCUAAAUAUCCAAACAGUGCAGAAAUUGACUCCAAAAAUAACUUGGUUUUCUAUUCUUAGUUGGAUCAGAACCGAUUGGAUUAUGCAUAAUAUAACUCCAAUGACCACACUUUAUGUGACAGUGUGGUGAAGGGCAGGAAAUGCCAACUUGGUUUGAUGAUGGGAAUGCCAGUUCAAACAAGUGCUGGCAAUGGCAGAUGCCACCUAGUGAAAUUUCAUUCUUUUCAGACGGAGAACAGAACACUGGAGGCAAUGAAUUCUAUCAGGAAGUGAUCAACCAACCAGAUCCUCCUAUCUUUGAGGUCAACAUUCUUGAAGAAUCAAUCGAUGAAGCAUUAGUCGUUGAUGAAUUUCGUAUUAACCCAAGACCUUGUCAAGUUCACCAUAUACAAAAAUCCCGGCAUCCCAUAGAAUAGAAAUGUGCUCCUGAAAGACAUCAAUUGCAGGGUCAAGUUUCAAGCAUAGCAAUAUUCGAAGAUAUUUAAAAUGCAGCACCGGAAAGCGAAAACAUCAAAACAAUUUCUCCACAAACUUCACGAUUGAAUCCUCAUUAGAUUGUACAAUGUGUGUGUGUGUGUGUGUGCGCGGGCCGCGCGUGUGUGAUAUAUACGUAUAAAGAUUUUAAACUCCACAAAAUUUAUGUUUGCAGGUGAGAGCAGCUGCACCGCACGUUAGUGAUCUAAGUUUGAGGUCCAGUGAGUCAGAUGCCAGAAAUAGAAGGGGUUCUUUUCUUCUUCUGGUGAGGACUCCAUUUGACCUUACAACUAAUCCACCAUCAGUUUGCAUUCGCUAUAUGCUUGUCAGUUCCAUUUCGAUCAUUUUCUUUACUUAAGAAUGGCCUCUCUUCUCGGGGCUAUGCUAUUCUUACCCGACGGCACGUCUCAUGAUGAUGCUGCUUGUGCUACUAUCCUCGCUUAGAGUUUCGAAAUCCUAGUGUCAUUUACCAUAAAAUAAAAAUAAAAGUAUGAAAAGUCCUGAAUCGUGAUGUUGAAUGUAAAUUUCUGCG
rnacentral:lncRNA from 1 species